CCUACGGGAGGCAGCAGUCGGGAAUUUUGCGCAAUGGACGAAAGUCUGACGCAGCAACGCCGCGUGAGGGAUGAAGGCCUUCGGGUUGUAAACCUCUUUUGUCAGGGACGAUAGUGACGGUACCUGACGAAUAAGCCACGGCUAACUACGUGCCAGCAGCCGCGGUAAUACGUAGGUGGCAAGCGUUGUCCGGAUUUACUGGGCGUAAAGAGCGCGCAGGCGGUCGUUCAAGUCGAGUGUGAAAGCCCCCGGCUCAACUGGGGAGGGUCAUUCGAUACUGAUCGACUCGAAGGCAGGAGAGGGAAGCGGAAUUCCCGGUGUAGUGGUGAAAUGCGUAGAUAUCGGGAGGAACACCAGUGGCGAAGGCGGCUUCCUGGCCUGUUCUUGACGCUGAGGCGCGAAAGCUAGGGUAGCAAACGGGAUUAGAUACCCUGGUAGUC
rnacentral:rRNA from 1 species